rnacentral:rRNA from 1 species
UGUUACAAUGGGGGGUACAGAAGGCGGCUACCUGGCGACAGGAUGCUAAUCCCAAAAACCUCUCUCAGUUCGGAUCGAAGUCUGCAACCCGACUUCGUGAAGCUGGAUUCGCUAGUAAUCGCGCAUCAGCCAUGGCGCGGUGAAUACGUUCCCGGGCCUUGUACACACCGCCCGUCAAGCCAUGAAAGCCGGGGGUACCUGAAGUACGUAACCGCAAGGAGCGUCCUAGGGUAAAACUGGUAAUUGGGGCUAAGUCGUAACAAGGUAAC